UAACGCGUGGGAAUCUACCCAGUAGUGGGGGACGACUACCGGAAACGGUAGCUAAUACCGCAUACGCCCUAUGGGGGAAAGGCUUCGGCCGCUAUUGGAUGAGCCCGCGUCAGAUUAGCUAGUUGGUAGGGUAAAGGCCUACCAAGGCAACGAUCUGUAGCUGGUCUGAGAGGACGAACAGCCACACUGGGACUGAGACACGGCCCAGACUCCUACGGGAGGCAGCAGUGGGGAAUAUUGGACAAUGGGCGAAAGCCUGAUCCAGCAAUGCCGCGUGUGUGAAGAAGGCCUGCGGGUUGUAAAGCACUUUCAGUUGGGAAGAUGAUGACGUUACCAACAGAAGAAGCACCGGCUAAAUCCGUGCCAGCAGCCGCGGUAAUACGGAUGGUGCGAGCGUUAAUCGGAAUUACUGGGCGUAAAGCGCACGCAGGCGGUUUGUUAAGCUAGAUGUGAAAGCCCCGGGCUCAACCUGGGAUGGUCAUUUAGAACUGGCAGACUAGAGUCUUGGAGAGGGGAGUGGAAUUCCAGGUGUAGCGGUGAAAUGCGUAGAUAUCUGGAGGAACAUCAGUGGCGAAGGCGACUCCCUGGCCAAAGACUGACGCUCAUGUGCGAAAGUGUGGGUAGCGAACAGGAUUAGAUACCCUGGUAG
rnacentral:rRNA from 1 species